rnacentral:rRNA from 1 species
GAUCCCAUCAGAACUCCGAAGUUAAGCGUGCUUGGGCGAGAGUAGUACUAGGAUGCGUGACCCCUUGGGAAGUCCUCGUGUUGCAUCCCU